UACGUAGGGGGCAAGCGUUGUCCGGAUUAUUGGGCGUAAAGAGCGUGUAGGCGGCUUUACAGGUCCGUUGUGAAAACUCGAGGCUUAACCUCGAGCUGUCGGCGGAAACCAUCUGGCUAGAGUCCGGAAGAGGAGAAUGGAAUUCCCGGUGUAGCGGUGAAAUGCGCAGAUAUCGGGAAGAACACCCGUGGCGAAGGCGGUUCUCUGGGACGGUACUGACGCUGAGACGCGAAAGCGUGGGGAGCGAACAGG
rnacentral:rRNA from 1 species